rnacentral:rRNA from 1 species
UUUGUUCAACGGCCGCGGUAUCCUAACCGUGCGAAGGUAGCGUAAUCACUUGUCUUUUAAAUGGGGACUUGUAUGAAUGGCAUCACGAGGGUUAUACUGUCUCCUUUUUCUAAUCAGUGAAACUAAUCUUCCCGUGAAGAAGCGGGAAUAAACAUAUAAGACGAGAAGACCCUAUGGAGCUUUAAACUCAAUAACAAAUACUAACCUUACAUUAACCUUCAGAAUAUUAACCUUAAUUUUAGUAUUAUGAUUAUUAGUUUUAGGUUGGGGUGACCGCGGAGUAAAAAUUAACCUCCACAUUGAACGGGACCUAUCCCUGAGCCAAGAACUACAGCUCAAAGCACCAACAAAUUGACAUUAAUUGACCCAAUAUUUUGAUCAACGAACCAAGUUACCCUAGGGAUAACAGCGCAAUCCACUUCAAGAGCUCCUAUCGACAAGUGGGUUUACGACCUCGAUGUUGGAUCAGGGUCUCCCAGUGGUGCAGCCGCUACUAAAGGUUCGUUUGUUCAACGAUUAAAACCCU